rnacentral:tRNA from 1 species
GGGUGUAUAGCUCAGUGGUAGACUGGGUGCUUAGCAUGCACAAGGUCCUGGGUUCAAUCCCCAGUAUCUUCA